UCAACACCUGCCAGCCAAUCAGAAUCCAGUAUUCAGACAGACCAUGGCAUAAAGCGGUAUGUUAUUAUUUUUACCAGCUUCUGCAAGCGUGUAUGGCGUCUGGCUGUUGGAACCUCACUGCGACUUCAGAUAAGAACAAAGAUUAAAUUGUAAGAAGAGCUGCUUGUAAGAGCAUACAGUACAUCUGAAACUGCUGAGGCUCGGAAGGUUUUUGACUAUAUUUCCGACCAGAUCAGCUGCUAUAGAAGACAAACUGAAAUCUGAGUGCAGAGACAAGCAAAGGAAUAGUAAGUAUAUUUUAAUAUCGUAUCACCUCUGUUAUAGAGAUUUUUGAAUCAGGCCUAAUGGAGGAUGAUUCGGUCAAUCUUGGAAGAAAAAUGUUAGCAAUGUGUCCAUUCCAGGUGGCUAA